rnacentral:rRNA from 1 species
UACGUAGGGUGCGAGCGUUGUCCGGAAUUAUUGGGCGUAAAGAGCUUGUAGGCGGUUUGUCGCGUCUGCUGUGAAAAUCCGGGGCUCAACCCCGGACUUGCAGUGGGUACGGGCAGACUAGAGUGUGGUAGAGGAGACUGGAAUUCCUGGUGUAGCGGUGAAAUGCGCAGAUAUCAGGAGGAACACCGAUGGCGAAGGCAGGUCUCUGGGCCACUACUGACGCUGAGAAGCGAAAGCAUGGGGAGCGAACAGG